rnacentral:pre_miRNA from 14 species
AUCAGAGUUCCCAGGGACUAAACCACUGAAAGACCCCCGGAGCGGGGAGACCCUCACUCAAGUCUCGGGAUGAUGCGACCCCCCCAAGAACUCACAUGAGACC